rnacentral:rRNA from 1 species
GAUGAACGCUGGCGGCGUGCCUAAUACAUGCAAGUAGAACGCUGAAGGAGGAGCUUGCUCUUCUGGAUGAGUUGCGAACGGGUGAGUAACGCGUAGGUAACCUGCCUGGUAGCGGGGGAUAACUAUUGGAAACGAUAGCUAAUACCGCAUGACAACAGUUAUUGCAUGAUAACUGUUUAAAAGGGGCAACUGCUCCACUACCAGAUGGACCUGCGUUGUAUUAGCUAGUUAGUGAGGUAACGGCUCACCAAGGCGACGAUACAUAGCCGACCUGAGAGGGUGAUCGGCCACACUGGGACUGAGACACGGCCCAGACUCCUACGGGAGGCAGCAGUAGGGAAUCUUCGGCAAUAGACGGAAGUCUGACCGAGCAACGCCGCGUGAGUGAAGAAGGUUUUCGGAUCGUAAAGCUCUGUUGUAAGAGAAGAACGAGUGUGAGAGUGGAAAGUUCACACUGUGACGGUAUCUUACCAGAAAGGGACGGCUAACUACGUG